AGUGAACGCUGGCGGUAGGCCUAACACAUGCAAGUCGAACGGCAGCACAGUAAGAGCUUGCUCUUACGGGUGGCGAGUGGCGGACGGGUGAGGAAUACAUCGGAAUCUACUUUUUCGUGGGGGAUAACGUAGGGAAACUUACGCUAAUACCGCAUACGACCUACGGGUGAAAGCAGGGGAUCUUCGGACCUUGCGCGAUUGAAUGAGCCGAUGUCGGAUUAGCUAGUUGGCGGGGUAAAGGCCCACCAAGGCGACGAUCCGUAGCUGGUCUGAGAGGAUGAUCAGCCACACUGGAACUGAGACACGGUCCAGACGCCUACGGGAGGCAGCAGUGGGGAAUAUUGGACAAUGGGCGCAAGCCUGAUCCAGCCAUACCGAGUGGGUGAAGAAGGCCUUCGGGUUGUAAAGCCCUUUUGUUGGGAAAGAAGAGCAGCAGGUUAAUACCCCGCGGUUCUGACGGUACCCAAAGAAUAAGCACCGGCUAACUUCGUG
rnacentral:rRNA from 1 species